rnacentral:lncRNA from 1 species
UGCGAGUUGUGGCAUUCGACAAGUGGUGCAACCUGCAGGAUCUCAAGACCAACCUCGACUUGUUAGAAGAAAAGUAAAAAAUAGCUCAAGUUCGGAUAGCGGCCUACAAGUAGAAAGUAGCCCGCUACUACAAUUUCCAGGUCAAAAGCAAAGUCUUCAGAGUGGGGGACUUGGUACUAUGACGAGCCGCUAUCUCACAACCUUAGAAUCAAGGAAAACUUGUCCCAAACUGGGAAGGCCCAUACGAAGUUAAGGAGGUGGUCCGGCAUGAAACAUACUAUUUAAAAGAGCUCGAAGGAGCAGAACUUCCACGACCAUGAAAUUCAGAAAAUCUGCGAAUGUAUUACCAAUAGCUUUGCCUUAAAUAAAAGUUUCAUACUUGCAUAUUUUUCUUUUAGUAUGAGUUUACAACGACAGGGAGUAACUCCCUCAUACAAUCAAAAUUAAGCUUGUUAGUAACAGGAGGAGAACCUCAUCCUAACAUGAGCAAAGAUGAAGGCUUGAUUUCUUAA